AACGAACGCUGGCGGCAUGCCUAACACAUGCAAGUCGAACGAGACCUUCGGGCCUAGUGGCGCACGGGUGCGUACCGAGUGGUAACCUGCACUUAGGUUAGCAAUACUUCACCGUAAGGUGAGUUAAUACCGGUUAGUGUCAUAGGACCUAAGAUGUAUCGCUUGUGGAUGGGCCCGGGUUGGAUUAGGCAGUUGGUAGGGUACAAGCCUACUAUGACGACGAUCCAGAGCUGGUCUGAGAGGAUGAUCAGCCACACUGGGACUGAGACACGGCCCAGACGCCUACGAGAAGCAGCAGUGAGGAAUAUUGGACAAGAGGCGAGAGCCUGAUCCAGCAAGGCCGCGUGAGUGAUGAAGGCCUUAGGGUUGUAAAUCGCUUGUACCCGGGAUGAUAAUGACAGUACCGGGAGAAUAAGCUCCGGCUAACUCCGU
rnacentral:rRNA from 1 species